rnacentral:tRNA from 1 species
UGUUAUAAUAGUUUAAAUAAAACACUGGUCUUGUAAACCAAAAAUAAAUAAAAAUUAUUUUUAUAACU